AGGAGCAGCGCCAUUUGCCAAAUUUGUGGCCAACGUGGCUGACAUCUACUGAACACUCAGUGUGUAUCACUCACUGCACUAAGCUCUUCAUAUGCAGAAUCUCCCUUAAUCCUGAGAGUAACCCUGGGACGUAGAUCCUGCCAUUUCCCCUGUUUGAUGGAUAGAGAAAGAGGUGUCCUGAGUCAAGUCACCAGCCCAAGGCUACACAGCUGGGAAGUGGCAGGGUGGGGAGUCCAUCCUCAUUUCCUCUCACCUGUGAGCCUUGUUGCUGUUCUCUGUGCUAAGCAGGCUUUUUCCAUCAUAAUCGCUGAUAAAACCCAUGAAGUAAGUGGGCCCUGCAAUCAGUUUGAGAAGAUAAGCAGAACAGCGACAAAACCCUGAUUUGUUGAGGGCUGCAGGUGUCCACUUUGCUCUGUGAUACAGGCCUUUCUUUUAAAGUGUUUACUUUUCAGAGCUAUGGGUAGAGGUCUGGGUGGAUCUUGUUGCAUUUCAGAUUCAACAGCUAUAAAAUAAAAAUUCCAUUUCUGAAUAAGCAGUGAUACUUUGGACCAGGGCUACCCCCAGUGUGGUUUGUGGACAGCACGCACUUACUGGUCUGUGAUAAGUGUGGAAAUUCAGAGGAAGCAUUUAGAAACUUCUGUAGCAAGUUGACAGAGUAAGUUUAUGCCUAUUGAAUCUAAAAAUAAAAAAGUAGGUCUUAUAGUUUGAAUGUAAUUAGAAAUAAAAGCAAAAAAGUGAUUCCUUCACCACAGAUAAUUUGAGAAGUGCUGCUUUAGAAAAUGUUGAAGCCCAAAUUGCUUUUCUUCUACAUAUCUUUCGCCAGAAUUUCUUUAUUUAAUUAAUUAAUUUAUUUGGCUGUGCCGGGUCUUAGUUGGGGCAUGUGGGUUCUAGUUCCCUGACCAGGGAUCGAACCCAGGCCCCCUGCAUCGGGAGCGUGGAGUCUUAACCACUGGACCACCAGCGAAGUCCCUCCCUCUUUAUUUCUUUAAAUAUCAGCAUUUUGGUGGACUGCCUUUGCUUCAGAAUUUCAGUACUCUGCUUUUGGGAAAACACUUUUUUGUUCCGCUUUGGAAAAAAGUAGUAAUAGUGAAAUAGUAACAGUAAUACAAAAAAUAUUAAUAGUAAUCUUAACCAAAAAAAGAGAUUGGCAUAACUGAUCAUCAAGUUGGUUAUUUAUCAUGCUUUGAACUUUUCAAAUGAGGGAAUCUCCUUUGUGUGAUUCCCAUGUUAAUAUUAAGUGUUGAAGUCAGGUGUCAUUAGAUUUCCCAUUUGUUGACUAUUCACUUUGAAUAAAGAUUUACUUUUAAAAAAACUGUCAUGAUCUUGUUUUUUCAGUUUUAUUGAGAUAUAACUGACAUAUAUUACUGUAUAAGUUUAAGGCAUACAGCAUAAUGAUCUGAUUUACAUGUAUUGUGAAAUGAUUACCACAAUAGGUUUACCCAGCAUCCAUGAUCUCAUACAGAAACAGAUACCA
rnacentral:lncRNA from 1 species